UACGUAGGGGGCAAGCGUUGUCCGGAAUCAUUGGGCGUAAAGAGCGUGUAGGCGGCCCGGCAAGUCCGCCGUGAAAGUCCGAGGCUCAACCUCGGGAUGCCGGUGGAAACUGUCGGGCUUGAGUCCGGAAGAGGCGAGUGGAAUUCCUGGUGUAGCGGUGAAAUGCGCAGAUAUCAGGAGGAACACCAAUGGCGAAGGCAGCUCGCUGGGACGGCACUGACGCUGAGACGCGAAAGCGUGGGGAGCAAACAGGAUUAGAAACCCCUGUAGUCC
rnacentral:rRNA from 1 species